rnacentral:rRNA from 1 species
GACGUAGGGCGCGAGCGUUGUCCGGAUUUAUUGGGCGUAAAGAGCUCGUAGGCGGCUUGUCGCGUCGACUGUGAAAUCCCGCGGCUCAACUGCGGGUCUGCAGUGGGUACGGGCAGACUAGAGUGCGGUAGGGGAGACUGGAAUUCCUGGUGUAGCGGUGAAAUGCGCAGAUAUCAGGAGGAACACCGGUGGCGAAGGCGGGUCUCUGGGCCGUAACUGACGCUGAGGAGCGAAAGCAUGGGGAGCGAACAGG